rnacentral:rRNA from 1 species
CGAACGAUGAAGCCCAGCUUGCUGGGUGGAUUAGUGGCGAACGGGUGAGUAACACGUGAGUAACCUGCCCUUGACUCUGGGAUAAGCGUUGGAAACGACGUCUAAUACCGGAUACGAGCUUCCACCGCAUGGUGAGUUGCUGGAAAGAAUUUUGGUCAAGGAUGGACUCGCGGCCUAUCAGCUAGUUGGUGAGGUAACGGCUCACCAAGGCGACGACGGGUAGCCGGCCUGAGAGGGUGACCGGCCACACUGGGACUGAGACACGGCCCAGACUCCUACGGGAGGCAGCAGUGGGGAAUAUUGCACAAUGGGCGAAAGCCUGAUGCAGCAACGCCGCGUGAGGGACGACGGCCUUCGGGUUGUAAACCUCUUUUAGCAGGGAAGAAGCGAAAGUGACGGUACCUGCAGAAAAAGCACCGGCUAACUACGUGCCAGCAGCCGCGGUAAUACGUAGGGUGCAAGCGUUGUCCGGAAUUAUUGGGCGUAAAGAGCUCGUAGGCGGUUUGUCGCGUCUGCUGUGAAAUCCCGAGGCUCAACCUCGGGUCUGCAGUGGGUACGGGCAGACUAGAGUGCGGUAGGGGAGAUUGGAAUUCCUGGUGUAGCGGUGGAAUGCGCAGAUAUCAGGAGGAACACCGAUGGCGAAGGCAGAUCUCUGGGCCGCUACUGACGCUGAGGAGCGAAAGGGUGGGGAGCAAACAGGCUUAGAUACCCUGGUAGUCCACCCCGUAAACGUUGGGCGCUAGAUGUGGGGACCAUUCCACGGUUUCCGUGUCGUAGCUAACGCAUUAAGCGCCCCGCCUGGGGAGUACGGCCGCAAGGCUAAAACUCAAAGGAAUUGACGGGGGCC